rnacentral:tRNA from 1 species
GCCCAGGUGGCGGAAUUGGUAGACGCGCUGGUCUCAAACACCAGUUCUUAGGAGUACCGGUUCGAUCCCGGUCCUGGGUACCA